CAGCCGCCACGGGAAUACGAAGGGUGCAAGCGUUACUCGGAAUUACUGGGCGUAAAGCGUGCGUAGGUGGUGGUUUAAGUCCGUUGUGAAAGCCCUGGGCUCAACCUGGGAAUUGCAGUGGAUACUGGGUCACUAGAGUGUGGUAGAGGAUAGUGGAAUUUCCGGUGUAGCAGUGAAAUGCGUAGAGAUCGGAAGGAACAUCUGUGGCGAAGGCGACUAUCUGGGCCAACACUGACACUGAGGCACGAAAGCGUGGGGAGCAAACAGGAUUAGAUACCCGGUGUCCCUGUCUCUUAUACAC
rnacentral:rRNA from 1 species